CCGCAGCCUAAGCGGCCCGAAAGGGGAAUUAGGACAGGGAUCAGUCGUUGAGUGCCCUGAUUCGGAACUAACCUCGACAGCU
rnacentral:ncRNA from 2 species